GUAUUCAUUUAUUUCAUUUCACUUCUUCUUCUUCUUUUUUUUUUUUUUUGGUACUAAGCACAGUCCCACUCCUACGCCAAGGUUUCUAAUCGUCAGAUCCUCAAGCUGUCCAGGCUGCUGUGACGUUGUUUCUCAUUCCGAAGACUUCCCUUCCACCACAGGACAAGGAGGAGAAAGAGCCGGCAGUCUGGAUUCUAUGACCGGGCUGGUGUUUGAGCUCUAACCUGCAGACAAUCACUAGAGAAAGGGAACUGGAUUCCAAGGCCCUCUGAGCAGGAUCACUCCCUGCUGGCACAGUCACCCCACGUCUGGAAGGAUUUGACCAGAGCCCAGGACCA
rnacentral:lncRNA from 13 species